rnacentral:rRNA from 1 species
AGUGAACGCUGGCGGUAGACCUAACACAUGCAAGUCGAACGGCAGCACAGUAAGAGCUUGCUCUUACGGGUGGCGAGUGGCGGACGGGUGAGGAAUACAUCGGAAUCUACUUUUUCGUGGGGGAUAACGUAGGGAAACUUACGCUAAUACCGCAUACGACCUACGGGUGAAAGCAGGGGAUCUUCGGACCUUGCGCGAUUGAAUGAGCCGAUGUCGGAUUAGCUAGUUGGCGGGGUAAAGGCCCACCAAGGCGACGAUCCGUAGCUGGUCUGAGAGGAUGAUCAGCCACACUGGAACUGAGACACGGUCCAGACUCCUACGGGAGGCAGCAGUGGGGAAUAUUGGACAAUGGGCGCAAGCCUGAUCCAGCCAUACCGCGUGGGUGAAGAAGGCCUUCGGGUUGUAAAGCCCUUUUGUUGGGAAAGAAAAGCAGCAGGUUAAUACCCCGCUGUUCUGACGGAACCCAAAGAAUAAGCACCGGCUAACUUCGUG